AUGAGGAAACUGAGGUUUACAGAAACUGAGUAACUUCGCCAAAUCCAUAUCCUUCAUAAAUGGUGUAGUUGGGGCUGCAAGCCAUGCCUAACUGGCCUUGGAGACCAGGUCUCAGCUUAGAUGCUGCUUUUUCAAGAAAGCCAUUCAUAUCUGCCUAGCCUUGGGCAGAAUCUCACUCUGUUGCCAAGAUGGAGUGCAAUGGCAUGAUCUUGGCUCACUGCAACCUCCGCCUCCCAGGUUCAAGCAAUUCUCCUGCCUCAGCCUCCUGAGUAGCUGGGACUACAGACAGGGUCUCACCAUGUUGCCCAGGCUGGUCUUGAUCUCCUGAGUUCAAACAAUCUGCUUGUCUUGGCCUCCCAAAGUGCUGGGAUUACAGAUGUGAGCCACUGUAGCUGGCUUCAAGGCAGUCUUAAGUGCAGUCCUGAAAAACUGAUGAAGUUCCAGAAAGCUCAGCAGGAGUAUAUUUUCAUAACUGGCUGAGAAGAGCCUGAAAAUUUUUAAGUGGUGAUAAGAACAAACAAGAUUCAGAGACCAAGAUGAUGCCAAGCAUGAAGAAUUUUUACUCAACUCAUACAGAACCUGAAAAGAGACAUUCUAGUGAGGCUGGAGGAUUGGGAAUUGGGAGAAGAGACCAACAGUGGGCUGUUAGAGUGAGAGAGAGAGAGAGAGAGAGAGAAAGAUCGUGCCGAAAAUCUUCCCCAAGCAAGAACAUCUCUGGUCAUUUCCUUGACCUUUUUGGAUAAAGUCUUACCUUGCAGAUUCAGCAUAAAUCACCUUUCCAUGUCCUCUCUCUGUGGGCGGUGUGUGGAGGUGCGAGGAGCAGGCACUGAAGCCAAAGAAAUCAGUUCUCAUUACUCACUGGCCUCCCUUGUUAUCUGAGUUUCUGAUGAGGAAUAGAAAAUUUUUGGUCUUACUCAAUGCAUGAUUUUGCUAAGGCUGUGUCGAGAAGUCAUCGAAAUAACUAGAUGAAAGCAAACAGUCUUGGCCAACCCACUUACUGUUUUAUUUUCACUAGCAGUUUUCUGGAUUAGGUGCCUCAGCUGUCUCUAUGAGGGCAAAGAUCUAUGACCCACUGACUCCCUUUGUCUCUUUCCACAGACACCUUACACUCUACCCCACAUUUACACCCACCCCACACUCCCAUUCUCAUCGCUACUCCACCCUUUCCAUAGGGGAAGUAGUAUUUGACCUCUGCUUCAGUUGGUUCCCCUGCCUAUUAUUUCAACUGGAAUAGGGCAGGGGAAGUCACAUCUGGGGACAGGAUGGGACCUUUGGGCCACUGCUUCAUUUCUCUUGGGCCCAUGAAUCAAUGAAGAGGAGAAAGUCAUUGAGAAGCAUUUGGGCACCUGCAGAUAUGAUCAGUGGCAACAGCAGUUUGGCGAUUCUGCCUGAGGUGUUUGAAUACGGCUUAAAUUCCCCUCAAAGUAGACAGUUCUUAUUCCAUUUGUCUUUUUCUCCUAAGUGGCUGCACCUUUCUCAGGGACCUCCAUAUGCCAGCUUUCCAUUCUGGAUAUGCCAAUUAUUUGCCAGAUCUUUCUGACUGAUCACAAGUACAGUACGGGGCCACUCUUUAAGAAUCACUAGUCCUUAAAACAUUUAAAAAUAGUUGACUUUGUUUUUCUACUGAAUUGCCUGAAUGAAAGUUUUGAGAAAAUAUUUUGUCAUAGUCAUAAAUUAGUUUUAAGUCUAAAUCUUACCCAUUGGUGGCUCAAGUGUUUUUAGAUACUGGUCAUUGUCAUCAUUGCUUCUUAUCUCACUAACGGUACUAAAUUACCCCCGCCACUGGUGUCAGAAGCCUCCUAGCAGGUCUCACUGAUGCCAAUUUCUGCCUCCCCAAUUCAUAACUCUGGCUCUCUGCUUAGAUUGUUGCUUUUUGCAGGUUCCUUCCAUGCUUAACUGCCCACAACAGGUCUCUACUGCCCUUCAUAUCAAGUGCAGACUAUCUGGCUGGUAUUCAAAGAUGCUCAUAAGCUGUUUCCACCCUCCCUCCCUUCCCUUCUUUGCCAUCACUUCCCAACAUGUACAUUCCAUUCUAAUCCAAAGAGUCAUUUCUUUAUCUUGAACUAUGUUCCCAUGUUCAAAUUUUAUUUUUCUGCUGCUUCCUCUUCUUGGAUAGUUCUUCUUCCAUUCUUUCAACUGGCCCAAGUACUAAUAAUAUUUAAAAUGUUACUCAAAUCCAGCAUCCGUCUUAAAGUCUUGAAUGAGUUUUCAGUAUCAACCAUCGGAUCUCUAUUGCAGUGGCUGUAAUUUCAUUGUAAAGAUGUUUUAUUCAUUUAAAGUUAACUCAUAUUUGUGGGGCAAUAAAUACUAC